rnacentral:rRNA from 1 species
CAGCCGCCGCGGUAAUACGGAGGGUGCAAGCGUUAAUCGGAAUUACUGGGCGUAAAGCGUGCGUAGGCGGUUCGUUAAGUCUGUUGUGAAAGCCCCGGGCUCAACCUGGGAAUGGCAAUGGAUACUGGCGAGCUAGAGUGUGUCAGAGGAUGGUGGAAUUCCCGGUGUAGCGGUGAAAUGCGUAGAGAUCGGGAGGAACAUCAGUGGCGAAGGCGGCCAUCUGGGACAACACUGACGCUGAGGCACGAAAGCGUGAGGAGCAAACAGGAUUAGAUACCCCUGUAGUCCCUGUCUCUUAUAC